AUUAGUGUAUUAAUUGAGAGAGUGUAGAGAUUAGAGAUAGAGAGAGAUCAAGGCAUUAAUGCCCAAUAUUCUUUAAGAUUGCCAAAUCUUUCCUUAAGAUCUUCAAAUCCUCACAAGAUUAGCAAGAUCAAUUCAUAUCUCACAAAAUAUUCUCUCACUCCUCACUCACCAUUUUCGGCUCUCUCUCCCUCUCCCUCAUAUCUCAUUUUCCACCAUUGACAUCCAUUGUAGAGACCUACGGAGCUUCCAAAAAUUUCACCAAACACCUCAAUCCACUCUUAAUUCACACAUAAACACAUCCUAGCUACUUGAAUUCAAGAGAAUCAUUGAAGAAGGGCUUCAAAGCUAGAGUGAGAAAGUGUGAAUCUUGGUAAGAAAUUUGGGU
rnacentral:lncRNA from 1 species